UCCCUUGUGGCUCAAACAGUAAAGAAUCUGCCUACAAUGCAGGAGAUCCAGGUUCAAUCCCUGGGUUGGGAA
rnacentral:tRNA from 1 species